UACGUAGGUGACAAGCGUUGUCCGGAUUUACUGGGCGUAAAGAGCGCGCAGGCGGUCGAUCAAGUCGAGUGUGAAAGCCCCCGGCUCAACUGGGGAGGGUCAUUCGAUACUGAUCGACUCGAAGGCAGGAGAGGGUAGUGGAAUUCCCGGUGUAGUGGUGAAAUUCGUAGAUAUUAGGAAGAACACCAGUGGCGAAGGCGGCUCACUGGCCCGGUACUGACGCUGAGGCGCGAAAGCGUGGGGAGCAAACAGG
rnacentral:rRNA from 1 species